rnacentral:lncRNA from 1 species
UCAAAGUUAUCCCCCCAUACGUUUCCUCCUGAAAUCUUUACCACAAUUACGAACCAUCUAGGUUAUAAAAGUCAAAAUUCACUUACCAAUUUUGUUCGAACAAUCGAAUUACCCCUUCAUUUUUUACUUUCUCGUUUUUAUAUUUAUCUUGCAAGAACAAUCAAACAAUGGUGCGAACGGUAAAGAAGGAAUUGAUGGACAAUCGAGCACCAGAAUGCAGAAUGCUACAGUCGAAAUAUCUCACCUUUAAGAAUCAGAUUAGCAGUAAUUUGAUUUCACAUCAUUUUAGUAAUUUCUUUGGUUUUUUUUUCCAUAUUCUUUUUUUUUCAUAUUUGUUUAGUUUGAUUAAUUUGUAUUUAGCGAAGAGAUUAAUGAAAGCGCUUAUUGCAAAAAUCUCUAUAUUUCGUUCUGUUUUGUCUUCAUAUAUUGUAAAAAAUUGUGUGUUUUAAUCUUUAAUUUAAUUUUCUUCCAAAAUGGGUGCUUUUGGGAAGUGGAUAAAAUCACUCGUUGGUCUGAAAAAAUGGGGAUCAAAUGACUCUAUAAGCUAAUAAUCUUUCUAUUAUCUUUAUAUGAUUUUUUUUUUUUUUGAUGUUUUAAGCAAUGAUUUUUAUAUUGAAUUGUGUUGAGCCUAAUAAUCUUUGUAUUAUCUUUAUAUGAUUUUUUUGGUGUUUAAUUAAUGAUUUUUAUAUUGAACUAUGUUGAGCUUAAUUCAUAUCUAAUGAUGUGUUUGGUUGGGCUUAAUAGUUGUUGUUGACUUCUUGUUGCCUUUUUGGUUUAAUGAUUGUUAUUGUUGUGUCGUCCACAAGUUGCUCGCCGAAAAUGCCUGCUCGAUUUGUGCUAGACUGAUAGGGUUCGUCUUGAAACAAGUACGAGCCGCCCACGGGUCGAGUCCCAAUGGUCGAGCUGAUGAUAUCACUGUUUAGCCCGUGCUUCCAAAUUCUUGGAUCUGCCCGUGGACGGAAGAAGUAGGUAUUGAUAUCAGAAACAACAGAGCUGAAUUAGACGUUUUAUUUUCAGAAUUAUAGGUGGCAAAAACAGAGGUGGUUUCCAAUUUCGUUUUACAAGUUAGUUGUCUCAUUUUUAUUUACUUAUGGCAAGAAUAUUGCAAUUCAUUUCUCCUUUCUCUGAACUUUGCUGGUAUAUCUUAGAUCUUUGUCUGAUUAGAAGUUCGCAUUUCCUCGUGUUGAAUAUUAUUGUAUUUGGUUCAAUCUUUGAUGGUUUUCAAUAAGACACUUUGCUUCGGAUGAAUGCUUUCAUAAUUUUAGUGUAUUUUUAGCUGAAGGAACAUUAAUUUACGAAUGGUACAUUAAUUUUCUGUACAGAAUGCAAAAGAACUUGUAUGUAUUAGAUCAAUUUAGAAACUUGAAACCAUGAACAAAGAUUCAUAUCAGUGAUUCCGCUCGUAAGUCGGAAAUUUCUCCUAAUUUCAAGGGAUCUUACAGAUUGAUCAGUAAUUGGUCAAUCUAGAUAGUGGCUGCACGAAAUAAGACUGUUACUUAACCAAGUCAGAAGAUCUUUUUAUCUUUAUGAAUACGAUCACUUAAUAUUUCUUAGUUAUGACACCUGUCUUUGAUGCUUUUACAGGAGUACGAACAUGCUUACUCAUGUUCUUGAAUUGAGGCCGUUGACAUGUCGAAUGAUUUUCUUCUAACGAGAAGGCAGGUGAUUGUUAAAGAAUUAGCGUGUGAAUUAUCAAGACUGCACAGCACAAAAUCUGGCCUGUGGAGCAUGAGAUUUAGCCGAUCUUCCCCCACCACCAAGGCAGUUGCAUCAAGUAGAAUAUGCCAAGAAUUACGAUGGGCUUCUGAAAUCCAAUGCAUAGAGUAUCGAGUCCCAUUCACUUCUGCCGGGUAAGAAAAUAGUCCUUUAGGAGCGUGUUUGCACUUCCUUCUGAAGUAUUGGCUGAGUUGUGAUCCUUUAAUCCUCAAAUCCAACCAAGAUUCUGGUGCAGGAAUCACUCUUGAUUCUUUGUAGCCUGCAAAUUCCCUUACAUAAUCAGCAUCUUCCCCGAUUACAGUCAAAUAGAAGUUCCCCUUGAAGAACGGGUAGCUCUCUCCAACUAACAUCAUUGCAUCCUUCCUGUUUUGAGUGAAAAGAACAAGAUACUCCUCGUCUGAUAGUCCAAAGU